rnacentral:rRNA from 1 species
GAUCCUGGCUCAGGAUGAACGCUAGCGGCAGGCCUAACACAUGCAAGUCGAGGGGCAGCAUAGUUGUAGCAAUACAAUUGAUGGCGACCGGCGCACGGGUGCGUAACGCGUAUGCAACCUACCCAGAACAGGGGGAUAACACUGAGAAAUUGGUACUAAUAUCCCAUAACAUCAUAAGGGGCAUCCCUUUUGGUUGAAAACUCCGGUGGUUCUGGAUGGGCAUGCGUUGUAUUAGCUGGG